rnacentral:rRNA from 1 species
UACAGAGGGGGCAAGCGUUGUUCGGAAUUACUGGGCGUAAAGGGCGCGUAGGCGGCCUGUUAAGUCGGACGUGAAAUCCCUCGGCUCAACCGGGGAACUGCGUCCGAUACUGGCGGGCUUGAAUUCGGGAGAGGGAUGUGGAAUUCCAGGUGUAGCGGUGAAAUGCGUAGAUAUCUGGAGGAACACCGGUGGCGAAGGCGGCAUCCUGGGCCGGUAUUGACGCUGAGGAGCGAAAGCCAGGGGAGCAAACGGG